AGAGUUUGAUCCUGGCUCAGAACGAACGCUGGCGGCGUGCCUAACACAUGCAAGUCGAACGGAGUGAAGGAGCUUGCUCUUUCAUUUAGUGGCGCACGGGUGAGUAACGCGUAGAUAAUCUGCCUUGGACUCUGGGAUAACAUCUCGAAAGGGGUGCUAAUACCGGAUAAGCCCACGAUGGCGUAAGUCAUUGCGGGAAAAGGGGGCCUCUGAAUAUGCUCCUGAUUCAAGAUGAGUCUGCGUACCAUUAGCUAGUUGGUAGGGUAAGAGCCUACCAAGGCGACGAUGGUUAGCUGGUCUGAGAGGAUGAUCAGCCACACUGGAACUGAGACACGGUCCAGACUCCUACGGGAGGCAGCAGUGGGGAAUUUUGCGCAAUGGGGGAAA
rnacentral:rRNA from 1 species